ACCUUUCAAAUAAAAUCUAUUCGCGCUCUCCCUUUUUUCCCCAGAUCCCUUCAGAUCUCUAUCUCUCGGUGAGAUCGAGUAACGAUGCUUCGUCGGUGUGUGAGAUCAUUGAAUCAAAGCUGAUCUACUCUCACUUUACAACCAUAAUUGCUAACAAGGAGGCUCGGUCCGGUCGCGAGAUCGUGACCGGAACGGCAGCAAGUAAGCGGUGGUUCUGAAUCCUGAUGGCGGCAGCUAAAGGUAUGUCUGCUUCAUUUCCGCUUCUGAAGCUGCAAGAGAUGGUGGCAUUCUUAUUGGAGCUAUGCAUAAAUCAGAUGGUUAGUUUUCUUUCAGGUUCCUAUGAUUAUGUACGCUAUCUGGCUCACACCCACAACACCACACCCCCCCCCCCCAAACAAAUGUCAGGAGACCAUGGUAACAUCAUGGUCUGCAGCCAAUCUCUGGUAGAUGGCUACUGGUGCUCCUGACAUGGUGGAGAAGCGAUUACCUGAAGCAAAGAGGAGGGUAUGCCGGUCAUUAUCAUAGGAAUCCUAGAAAGUUGCAUAACCGCCAACUUCAGUUCUGGAGUGGUCAAUGGCUGACGCGGUCAAGUGCAGAUAUUAAUAAUGUUAGAUUGAAUGUACAAGGAGUUGGGAUUCUCAAAUAUAGUUACACAACGUAGCGGAUAACAAGUAUGCUUGGACUUUUGCCCUUCACACUAUCAAAUUACCUGCCUCCAUCGAAUGUCAGCUCUGAGCGUGUAUGCCCAAACGCAUGAUUAUUCUUUGAUUAAUCGGUCCAAAUGUGUGUUGAAAUUUUGGUAAAAAUAAAUUCAGCACAAACCCA